CGCCGAGGGGCUGAGUUUGGGUUGUGGGGAGACGGGGGAUCCCUCUUCUUCCCCCGGGGGUCCCUGUGAUGGGGACCGCCCUGGGCCCAGCAGUAGGGUCUUGCCCUGCUCGGUCGGUCGGUCUGGGCGGGGAGGCCCGAAGUGGGGAGGCCGCUGGACUCGCUGUUUUCUGUCAGCUGGGAUGGAAGAGUUGUAGGGCCAGGGGGCAUCGGGAGUGGGGCCCGGGUGCUCUGGGCCAAGGGCCGCUUUGCUUGUGGGUGGGGGUGUGAUUGCUUAGGAUAAGAAGAUGUUGCAUGUGCAGAAAAGGAGGCACGGGUUUUGUCAGGGGAUGGACACAGUUCCUGUCUGGGAUUUAAAAAAAAAAAAAAAAGGCAGCGCUCAGAGUAGGGGGCCCACUUUGGGGAAAAGGAUGAGAAGCCGUAAACUGGAAGCCAGGAUUCUCCAGGAAGAGCCCUUUCUGGCCGUUCGCUAUGGCCCCGCCACAGGCCCAACCUUUCCUGCCUGCUAAGGGACUCCGGAGCGAAAUGAGCAGCGGCCACAGAGCCGAGUGACUGAGGCUUCCGAGGGAGGCUCCGUGGUCUCAAAACUGGACUCCACAACACACUAUCCCUCAAGGACCGCCCACCCCGAAGGGCUCAGGCCAGGCUCUGAUGGGAGAGCUUGUCCACUGCCCUGAGGCUUAGAGGAGGGAGGAGGGUGCCGGUGGAAGAGUCCCUCAUCCCAGCCCUGUGCGCCAGCCCCAACUGCUCCCCUUUUGGACCCCUCCAUUCCCAUACCUCCGCCCCUUAGCAGCGCAGACCAGCGGCUCCCAAACUUGAGCGUGCACCAGCAUCACGUGGGGGGCUUGUUAAAACACAGGUUUUAACCUCACCGCCAGCGUUCCUAAUUCAAUACGUCGGGGGUGGUUCUUAGCCCUGGCUAAAGUUAGAAUCACCUGGGGAGUGUUUUGAACACUAUUGAUCUCUAUACACAACCCAAACCAAUUAAGUCAGCUUCCCUGGGAGCCGGGGGGUGAGUGCUUUCCAAAGGAUGGCAUUCUAAGAGCUCCUCCACUUUUGUUUGUUUCUUAUUUCUGCAACCUUUCUGAUUGUUUACGAAUCUCUCACUAAUUACUGACUGUGGGCCUCUAAGGGCAGCGUUGUAUUUUACUCUAGUUAGUACCAGGUCAGGGCACCUGACUCAUAGGACAGUCCAGUUGGCAGCAUUUGCUUUGGGGCUGGCAUGGAUAGUUCAGUGAGAAGUGGGACAAGGCCCACCAGACCUCUGAGAAGGGUGGGAAAACAUGAGGUGUGGGGGGCUGGGGGAAAGGUAGGGGAGUAGAGAAGAAGGAGAAGAUAUGGGGGAGAGGGCUGUUUAUCAACCCCUGAUUUUCCACAGCUAAUUUCACACUUCAGGGAUUAUUGUUUUAAUCCCUAGUGGGCUUCUCCUGUCACUCAGCAGAGCUCACUCUGUGUCCCUGUAUGAUCCAGCUGUGGACUGGGAGAAUGUAAACUUAUUUUCCUUCUCAGGGAGAAAAUAUCUCACACAUACAACUCAGAACACUGUGUUACUUUAUCUAAAAAGUGUAUACCAAAGCCAAGCAUAUCUUAAACCAGUGACUUUCAUGAUUUUUAUUGUACAUCUUCACAACAAAUCUUUGUUGAAUCCUAAUAUGUGAGAGAAAAGGUGUACAUGUUUUCAUCAGGCUUUAAUUGUUCUGAAGAAAUGCCUUUGUCUAAGGCACCCCUGAAACACUCAUGGGCAGCCUUGGCGUUUCCCAGACCAAAUGAAGACCUCCUUAAGUUUUCCUGGUGUUUUAGGUUGUGCAUACCACUAUGCCAAGCUCUUUGUUAGAAUGAAUAACUCAGAGCUGACACUGCUCUUCCCCAAGGCACGGGGAACAAAUUUUACUUGUAGGUGUCUGCAGCUUCUGUACCUUGCAUAAGACAGCUUCUGCUGUCUUUGCUCAGGCUGCUAUAAUAAAUGCCUUAGACUGGGUGGCUUAAACAACAGACAUUUAUUUCUCACAGUUCUGGAGGCUGGGAAGUCUAAGAUAAAGGUGCCAGCAGAUUUGGUUCUUGGUGAGGGCCCUCUUCCUGGCUUGUAAAGGGCCACCUCUUGCUGUGUCCCCACAUGGUCUUUCCUCCAUACACACAUGUGGAAGGAGAAAGAGAGAGGAAGCAAACUUUUCGGUGUCUCUUUCCAUAAAGGGCACUAAUCCCAUCAUGGGAGCUCCACCCUCAGGACCUCAACUAAACCUAAUUAUCUCCCAAAGGCCCAGCUUCUUAAUACCAUCACAUUGGGGGUUAGGGUUUUAACAUGAAUUUAGUGGAGACGUUAACAUUCAGUUCAUAAUGUCUGCUAUUUGUUUUUUGUGCUUUCCUUCUCACUAUCAAAAAGUAGCCAAGAGAUGUGGCAUUUAGUAUUGUGUGAUCCACACUAUUUUUAUGCUUCUGUUAUAAAACAGAUAGGAGUUAGGAUUAUAUGGGUUAUGAGUAAAAUUUCUUCAGGAAUCCUUUAUAGCAGGUGACAGGAUCAUUCCUUUCUGCUAGCCAAGAGAGAAUGAGGCUCUCUCAGCUUUGAUAGGAACAGCAGACAUCUUAACAGAGAUUGGAGUUAGUCAGUGUGAUGUGUUGGAGGGUGCUUGGGGCAGGAUGGAGGAGGAUCAGCUCAAAUAAACCCUACAGAUGAAGAGUGGAGGUGGGGGCUGAGUCUCCUGAAGAAAAUCAAAACCCUGGUUCCAAAAGAAGGGGUGUAUUGGUCAGGUUUUGCUUGUAUAAUACUGUGUAACAAACAACCCCAACACUCACUGGCUUGCUUAAACAACAAAUGGGUCUUGGUUGGCGGGGUUCAUGUUUGCUUCACAUGUUUUUCUCAUUCUGGGACCCAAGAUGAAGGAACGGGCUCAAUAUGGGACACGUGGAUUUCUGGAAGGGCAGGAGCUCCAGAGAAACUGGUCAUCGAUAGGCCAGAGGUUGGCAAACUGCAGGCCCACCGCCUGUUUCUAUGACUUUCAAGCAUUACAAAGGAAAGGAGAUUAAAACACAGCGAUAAGGUGUCACAACUCAGAAAACUGUGAGUCACUGCUGUCAUUUCCAGGAUGCAUACAACUGAGAAACUGUCCUGACCAGCUACUGGUCAAAAUCAUUUCCUACAUAAUAGAAAUCUGACUUGUCCAGAAAGGUACAAAUGGUCUUGGGCCUUUUCUCUUUCAGUGAUGCCCAGAGUGCCUGUGUAAACAGCUGCUUUGGAUUUUAAAUGUGUAGAUCAAGAAACAGGGCACUUUAGCUCUUGUUUUGAUCCUAGAAGGUGUUGGGCAAGACUUUGAAGGAAACUGCAGUCUUUCUUUUCCCACAGCAUCACAGUCACAGAAACCCAGGCAAUGCCCCAUGGGCAGGAGGUCGUGCUGUGCUUUAAUGGCAAAGAUGGGCAAGGGGUGGUUUGGGGACUUUCAAGACCAACUCCUUGAUGGUGGGAAAAUCUAAUGAAUUGGAGGCUGAUUAUCACCUUUGAAAAAUCCUGAAACUCAAAUGAGAAUAGUGCUUUGAGAGCAGCAGAGGAAGGCCUGGGGCCAUGACCAGGCUUGCCAGAGAUGAUGGUAGCACAGGGGUCUUCAGAGGGAGUAGAAGCUCCCAGGCACAAGCAUAAUAAUUUAAUUCCUUCCCAAGGGUCUAUUUGCAUGGGGGGACAGGCCUUGUUUGGGGAGGCUGGAGCCAAGGGGGGAUUUUGAUGCAAAAUCAAAACAGAUGAAGUUGUUCCCUGCGAAAUUUAGGGGUAUUCUGAACCCAGGCACUCCUUCUGCCUGGGGUCCAGCACCAAGAUGAGAGGGCAUGCAACCUGACAUUCCUUGUUGCCAUGAGGAAGCCCCUGAACAAGGAAGCCAGAGAACAAAGAACAGGAGGGAAUAAGCCUUCAUGUUUCUGUCUGGAAGGAUCUCCAGUAGGAAAGGGAGAGGGAAGUUCUCUGACUGGCAAGUUUAGGAAUAGAAACUGCAACACUUGGCUCAGCUCCCACCUGCCCUCUCUUUUGGAACCCGCUUGUCCCAAGAACACACGGUCUCUGUUCUCCGUGCUGCGGGUGCCUGCAGUUUUCCAGCUCGGCCCAGGUAGGUAAGUUUAAUCCGGGGCCGAAAUGCCAGCCAGCCCACUGUGCCUGUAGAUGGGAGGAUCAUCCUCCAAUCUAGCUGUUAUCAGUAGUAAGACGAUUAUUUUCAUCUCCACCAGCCUGGCACCUGCUUUCUCUCUCAGCUGUUUCUGAAAUUGGACAGGAAAGAGAGGAGUAAUUUGGUGGGCUGGGGGUUUACCUAGCCAGCUCGUGUAGGACACCGCAAUUGGAAUUCUGAGAAAUAACCAGAGAAGACUGGGUUCGGGGCAGUGGAGGUGCAGUACUGAGUACCCCCAUGAGCAUGCAGAGGUUCAACAAUGUCAUUAGUGGGGUGUCCAUGGUCAUAGGGCCUCACGUGUACCCACAGGCUGAUGAGACUACAGAUGUAACCCAGGAUGGAGGAGAAGAGAAACGCCAUCUACAGGCUGCUGUCAGGAACCAGGCACUGUGGUCUGGAGAAAAUGUCGGCUGCAGCCCACCAAUCUGACUUCAUGAUCCAUGAAUGGUUUGAGAGGCACAGAUUGCUGAAAACUGAUGGGUAGUGGUGGGGCAGACCAUAGGACAGCGGGAUCACAGCAGCCAGAUGAGGUCGAGUAGGAGAAGCAGCUUCAUAUAAAAGGGAGAGCAUUUGUCUGUGUAUGUGUGAGUCAGCGCCCUUCCGAACAUCCCCCUACACUUUCGCAUUGUCUGUCAUCCCACCAAGCACAUUCCCACCUCUGUCACGGAGCUAUCUUCCCCAAAUGCAAUAUUUAAAAGACACUUCUGAACGUCUUAGCUUUGUUUAUCACUGUCCUGAUUUAUCAGCCCACCAGCCAACGUAUUUCUUGAGGAACCUGCACUGUGUCUGUAGCCAGCUGCUGUACAGUUGGCCCUCAGUGUCUGUGGGUUCUGCAUCUGCAGAUUCAACCAAACACAGAUUGAAAAUAGUUGGGGGAAAAAAAUUCCAGAAAGUUCAAAAAAGCAAAACUUGAAUUUGCUG